AUGGCCGCCUCCUCCAGCGUCGUGAACUCUGGCCUCUCCGGCCAGAUCACCGAGAAGCUGACCCGCACCAACUUCAUCCUGUGGCGCACGCAGAUCACGCCACAGCUCCGAGGUGCGGGCUUCUUCGGCUACGUCGACGGCAUCAUGCCAGAGCCGGGCAAAGUCAUCGUCACGAAGGACAAGGACGGGAAGCAGGAGUCUACACCGAACCCCCUUCAUUCGAUCUAG
rnacentral:rRNA from 1 species